UGGGGCUCAACUUGGAUGAAUAAUCAUCUAACAGCAGACUGGAAUCUGAAAAGAAAACCAAGAUCCAAAUAUGUAUAUAACAGAGGGAAGGCCACGUGGAGACACAGGGAGAAGACAGCCAUCCAUGAGCCGAGAAGAGACCUGAGAAGAAACCACCCAGCUGACACCUUGAUCUUGGACUUCCAGCCUCCAGAGUUGUAAGGCAGUAGCUGGAAUUAACUACAGGCCAUGGAGAUACAUCUAUGAACAAAGAAGACAGAAAAUCCUACCAGAAUUGACUGAAAAGUUGAGUGAGGGGCAGGAAAGAAAAAGAGGUGGC
rnacentral:lncRNA from 1 species